AUAUAUAUUAUCCAUUCAUUAUUCACCACUAUUUAUUCAUAAUAGAGUACAUGCAUGCAUAGUUGUGAGGCUUGACUUCGGUAGUCUCUUCGCCCACCACCGACACCGUUAUGGUAACCUCCGCCGCCAUCGUUGUAGCUUCCACCGCCUUUGUGGUAGCCUCCGCCGCCGUUGUUAUAAUCUCCCCCGCCGUUAUGGUAACCUCGGUCGCCAUUAUAUCCGCCCCUCCCAUCAACAGUAGCUGCCUUAGCUGCAUGUAUUGUAGAAUCAUGUUAGCCAAUUAAAGCUAAUAAUAAAUAUAGCUGCCAACUUAACUAUGCAACAAUUAUUUAUUUCUUUGUUAAUACUACCUCCGUUCUAUAAUAAGUGAUUUUUUAGUUUAAAUUACACGUACCAAUACACAAGUUAAAAUGACAAAAAUAGUCUUAAUAUAUUUUCUUUAAAGUUGAAGAGUUAAUUAGUAUCAUUUAAUUGUAGUGAUUGCAUGUAUUAAGAAAGUCAUUUAAUACUAUCAUUUACUCCCUCCGUCCCUAAUUAUUUGACGUUUUAGAGUUUUUUAUUUGUCCUUAAUUAUUUGAAGUUUGUUCAAAUCUAGGAGAAUUAAUGACAAAUUUUUCAAAAUUACCCCUGAUUACUCUGCUUAUUUUUUUUGAUACUUUAAACUCUCUCUCUCCUUGUCCCAACAAAACUCUCCUUAUCUCAACAAAAGAUUCAAGGGUAUUAUAGAUAAUUGAGUACUAUAUUUAAUGCUUUCUAAUCAUUAUCUUAAUUCUUGUGUUCACCUCUAAAACGUCAAAUAAUUAGGGAUGGAGGGAGUAGCGAUUAAAAUUUGUUUGAAAUUUCAUCACUACCUUUUUAUGGGAAGUUAAAAACUAUUAAUACAAGUGAGAGAAUUUUUGGGGACAAUAAGAGAAUGCAGGGGUGAUAUAGGAAUGUAAAUACUACCUCCGUUCCUAAAAGAUUGUCGUUUAAGGUUUUGACACAUGGAUUAAGAAAGUAUCAUUUACCAAGUAAAAUUUGUUUGAAAUUCCAUCACUACNNNNNNNNNNNNNNNNNNNNNNNNNNNNNNNNNNNNNNNNNNNNNNNNNNNNNNNNNNNNNNNNNNNNNNNNNNNNNNNNNNNNNNNNNNNNNNNNNNNNGCGACGGUUCGGUCAUAUAACCAUCGUCUAUACUUUUAGCGACGGACAACAUAUAGCGUCACUAAAAGUAUAGACGACGGUUGUAUGACCGAACUAUCGCCGGGUCCGUCGCUAAAGGGGGGUGAGCUCGGGUGAGUUAGAUAAGAGGUAAGCUCUUGAUCCUUGCUCUCUCUCUCUCUCUCUCUCUCUCUCUCUAUAUAUAUAUAUAUAUAUAUAUAUAUAUAUAUAAAGGGACACGAUCCAGUCCGGACGUCUGUACAGACAUAUUUUGUUAUAUGUAUUCAAAAUACACCCAAAAUACUGUAUUAUGUAAAAAUUUCAGUUCCAUAAAUUAUUAAUUUUUUUUGUGUUUAAAAAAAAGAAAAAAAAAGAUUGAAUUUUAAACCUGUCCGAAAGUCCGGACAGAAUCCGAUUCAUAUAUAUAUAUAUAUAUAUAUAUAUAUAUGCACCAAUUGCAUACAAAAUUCAAGUUAAAUCACUCAUUAAUUUUGAAAGAGUAAUACUAGGUAACUGGUCAUAAACCGUUUAAUUUACCUAACAAAAUUGUGCUGAGAGUUUUGUCUAGAUAAAUUAGAUAUUUUUUGUCUAAUUACGUACCUAUAUAAUAUUAUUCUUUUUGAACAAAUUAAGCAACACAUAAGAGUUGGAUUAAAGAGAACUAUUUAUAUAGAAAUUAAGAUACGAGAUAAAACUUACUGUUUUUGUUUGUAGUGGUGGUUUGAGUCUCGGCCAACUCUCUAGCAGCGACCUCUGAACUAACGCUGUAAAAUGAGUAAAUAAAUCGGGCUCAAUUCGUACUCGUUCGACUAAAAGUUUGAUUUAAAUUCGACUCAAAAUAUAAAUGAGUUAAAUGUGUGCAAAUUUUAAAAUUCGAUAAAUUACUCGAACCUCCUCAAAUUUUAAUUUUCUAUUGAUACUCGGAUCAUAUUCUUUCGAAAAAUUCAAAUUGCUCGGGCUCGAUUCAAAAUCGUGCUCGACUCGAUAACUAAAUAAGCCUCAAUUAAACCUUAUUUUAUAUUUAAUAAAUUUUAUAAACCAAAUCUAAAUAAUUCAAUAGUCAAAUCCACUCAAUUUGUUUAACCCCUUACUCUAAACUAAUCAGAAUAACAAAUUAACAAUAACUAGAGAAAGACCAACUAAAAGAAAUAACAAUAUCAGAAUGAAUGAUAUUAUGGAGAAGGAU
rnacentral:lncRNA from 1 species